UACGAAGGGGGCUAGCGUUGCUCGGAAUCACUGGGCGUAAAGGGUGCGUAGGCGGGUCUUUAAGUCAGGGGUGAAAUCCUGGAGCUCAACUCCAGAACUGCCUUUGAUACUGAAGAUCUUGAGUUCGGGAGAGGUGAGUGGAACUGCGAAGUGUAGAGGUGAAAUUUCGUAGAUAUUCGCAAGAACACCAGUGGCGAAGGCGCUCACUGGCCCGAUACUGACGCUGAGGACGAAAGCGUGGGGGAGCCAAACAGGG
rnacentral:rRNA from 1 species